rnacentral:ncRNA from 1 species
UAAAUAUUGAGUUUUUAUGGUGCGAUUGACAAAUGUACUGUCAAUUGCUUAAAAGGGAAGUCGGUGUAAUUCCGACGCGGUCCCGCCACUGUAAAGGGGAGCAUGCUUCAAUUAUGCCACUGUGUUGCAAAAGCGAUAUGGGAAGGCCGGAAUGCGCGCAAUGAUCCGAAGCCAGGAGACCUGCCAUAAAAAGCACUGAUAG